rnacentral:rRNA from 1 species
GUUUACGACCAUAUCAAGUUCAAUGCACCGGUUUUCGUCCGAUAAACGACGAGCCUAGUUAGUAUAUAGAUGGGUGAACGCUUGGGAAGCCUAGGUACUGUAAGCA